rnacentral:misc_RNA from 1 species
GUUUGAUUAAGCAGAUUGACAAAAGAUAUUGGGUAGGCUGGUGUAUUCAAAUUAUGUGGUGUAAAGCUGGACAGUGCAUUGUAAGCUACCAAUGAGAUGAGGAAAAGAGAUAUAAAUUGAACAAGUGUAAACUUAGAUCAAUGGUUCCAAGGUUCAAUAAUAUAUAGUUACAACUUUCAUGUAUUAUUGUACUUGCUACGCCGAAGUGAAUCCUCUCUCCAGCAACACCGAAACAUAAUCAGAGAAGUUAUUGGUUCUUACUGUUGAGAUCUUGAGAAUGAGCAACACCGAAACAUAAUCAGAGAAGUUAUUGGUUCUUACUGUUGAGAUCUUGAGAAUG